rnacentral:lncRNA from 1 species
AGUCCUGCCCUGGCGAGGGAGACAGAUGCAGACACAACCCGCCAUCAGCCAGGUCAUGAUGAGUACAGGCCCUGCUGCCUGAGGACGGGGCUGGUUUUCAUCCGUUUCUGCACUUGGUGCCCAGCACAGGGCAUGCCACCCUGGAGGUGUGCCUCCAACACGCCUGCAGCAGGUCGCUUCUGAGCACUUAGCAUGUGAGCCGGCCCUGGGCAGGGCUAUGGGGAUUUCACAGCAAACGAGGCAGAACGCUCCCAGCCCUGCUGCCUUUGAGGAGCAGGAGACCCAGAGUAAACAGGCAGGCAGACACACAGCCAGGCAGCUUGAAAAUAACAGAGUGACUGGAAGGGAGGGUGGCCACUCGGGCUGGACAGUCAGGGAAGGUCCUCGAAGGAGACGAUGUCAGAUUGAGAGUGGACUGACGCACGCACCAGCCGCCGGGGGAAGCUGGGAAUAAUAUUCUAGGCAGAGGAAAUAGUGAGGCAAAGCCUCGAGUGUGCCUCACAUAUUCCAGGAGCAGCCAGAUGGGUGUGUGAGUGAGGGGAAGACGAGGGGGCUCAAAGCAGAGGUGGGAUCCUUGAGACAGCUCAGUCACCUCACCUGGCCAGAGAUGAAGGCCACUCCUGAAUUCAUUCACCCACCUCUCCCAUCAGCCUUUCGUCUAGCCAUUCAUCCAUCCAGCAUGUACUGGUCCCCUCUCGGGGCAGCUCCUCCCUGGUUUGGAGGAUUUGAGAGUGACUGAACUGACCCCUGCUCUCUGGAGCAGCUCAUGGUCUCAUGGGAGAGACCUUCAUGCUAAGAGACGAUCCCAACCCAGUGACGAGCACACGCAACCGGGGACACAGAGUCAGGAGGGAGGAAGAGCGGGAGGUGAGAGGACGGAGGGGUCAGCGCAGCCCGGCUCCACCUCGGGACAGUGGGUCUGCAAUGUCAUCCUCCCAGACAAAGGACAGUACAUUAUUAGUGUUAUUAAUUAUCAUUAAUCUAUUUAAAUGGUAAUUACAAUUAAGAACACAGUGACAAAAAUGGCACCUUGGAUUUAAAUGCCUCUUCUCUGGCACCGGAGUGAGUGAUUUUUUCCUGAGCUCAGCCCCACACCCUGUCACAGCACAGCACAUUUAGCAGGUGCUCGGCCAACCUUUAAGUUCAAAUUCACAGCUCAGGCAUCACAAGGCCCAACUCCCCUGUCUUACAGAUGGGCAAACUGAGGCCCCAGAAGGGGAAGGGACAGGAACCAGGUCACCCGCAAGUCUAUGGUGAAGGUGGAGUGAAGCCAAGAAACCCGAUUCCCAAAUGCCUCCCAACUCACUCCAUCUCUAGCUGCCUUUAUUUUUUUCCAGGAAAAAACAGCUGUCAGAGGCAGCCACCCUGUUACCGAUUAAACAAGGCAAAUUCUAUCGGAACAGAAUCGGAGGCACUCCGGAC